AUUGAACGCUGGCGGCAGGCCUAACACAUGCAAGUCGAACGAGUGGCGGACGGGUGAGUAAUGUCUGGGCAACUGCCCGAUGGAGGGGGAUAACUACUGGAAACGGUAGCUAAUACCGCAUCCCAUCGGAUGUGCCCCGAUGGGAUUAGCUAGUAGGUGGGGUAACGGCUCACCUAGGCGACGAUCCCUAGCUGGGCUGAGAGGCUGACCAGCCAGAUUGGAACUGAGACGCGGCCCAGACGCCUCCGGUAGGCAGCAGGGGGGAAUAGUGCGCAAGGGGCGCAAGCCUGAUGCAGCCAUGCCGCGUGUGUGAAGAAGGCCUUCUGGUUGUAAAGUACUUUCAGCGAGGAGGCGGUACUCGCAGAAGAAGCACCGGCUAACUCCGUGCCAGCAGCCGCGGUAAUAC
rnacentral:rRNA from 1 species